AGAGUUUGAUUCUGGCUCAGAACGAACGCUGGCAGCGUGGAUUAGGCAUGCAAGUCGAACGAAAGUUGGCCUGUAGCAAUACAGGUCAGCGAAAGUGGCGUAAGGGUGAGUAACGCGUGGGUAAUCUACCUUGAAGUUGGGGAUAACUCGCCGAAAGGUGAGCUAAUACCGAAUGUGGUCGUUUUCCGCAGGGAAGACUGACUGAAGGCGGGGAUCUUUCGGGACCUGCCGCUUUGAGAGGAGCCCGCGUGCCAUCAGCUUGUUGGUGAGGUAAUGGCUCACCAAGGCUUACGGCUAGCUGGUCUGAGAGGACGACCAGCCACAGUGGGACUGAGACACUGCCCACACUCCUACGGGAGGCUGCAGUCGAGGAUCAUUCGCAAUGGGCGAAAGCCUGACGAUGCGACGCUGCGUGGAGGAUGAAGGCCUUCGGGUUGUAAACUCCUGUCAUUCGGGAAAAACCGCCUUAACGUGAAUAACGUUGGGGUGUGAUGGUACCGGAAGAGGAAGCCACGGCUAACUCUGUGCCAGCAGCCGCGGUAAUACAGAGGUGGCGAGCGUUGUUCGGAUUUACUGGGCGUAAAGGGUGCGUAGGUGGCUUUGUGUGUCGGAUGUGAAAUCUCACGGCUCAACCGUGGAACGCCGUUCGAAACUGCAAAGCUUGAGUACAGGAGGGGAGAGCGGAAUUCUUGGUGUAGCGGUGAAAUGCGUUGAUAUCAAGAAGAACACCGGUGGCGUAGGCGGCUCUCUGGAAUGUUACUGACACUGAGGCACGAAAGCUGGGGGAGCAAACAGGAUUAGAUACCCUGGUAGUACCAGCCCUAAACGGUGUGCACUUGGUGUGGGGGGUAUUGACCCCCCCCGUGCCGGAGCUAACGCGUUAAGUGCACCGCCUGGGGAGUACGGCCGCAAGGCUAAAACUCAAAGAAAUUGACGGGGGCCCGCACAAGCGGAGGAGCAUGUGGCUUAAUUCGAUGCAACGCGAAGAACCUUACCAGGGCUUGACAUGUACCUGCAUACCCUGUGAAAGCAGGGUAGCCUUCGAGGGUGGUACACAGGUGCUGCAUGGCUGUCGUCAGUUCGUGCCGUGAGGUGUUGGGUUAAGUCCCGCAACGAACGCAACCCCUGUGUUUAGUUGCCACUACCGGUGAUGAGCCGGUAAGCACUCUAAACAGACUGCCUGUACAAACAGGAGGAAGGUGGGGAUGACGUCAAGUCAGUUUGGCCCUUACGCCCUGGGCUGCACACGUGCUACAAUGGCGGGGUAUAGAAGGAUGCGAGACCGCGAGGUGGAGCAAAUCCUCAAAACCUGCCCCAGUUCAGAUUGAAGUCUGCAACUCGACUUCAUGAAGCCGGAUUCGCUAGUAAUGGCGUAUCAGCUACGACGCCGUGAAUACGUUCCCGGGCCUUGUACACACCGCCCGUCACAUCAUGAAAGCCGUCUGCACCCGAAGUCGCCAAGCCAACCCGCAAGGGAGGCAGGCUCCUAAGGUGUGGGUGGUGAUUGGGAU
rnacentral:rRNA from 1 species